UAGGGAAUCUUCCGCAAUGGGCGAAAGCCUGACGGAGCAACGCCGCGUGAGUGAUGAAAGUCUUCGGAUCGUAAAACUCUGUUAUUAGGGAAUAACAAAUGUGUAAGUAACUAUGCACGUCUUGACGGUACCUAAUCAGAAAGCCACGGCUAACUACGUGCCAGCAGCCGCGGUAAUACGUAGGUGGCAAGCGUUAUCCGGAAUUAUUGGGCGUAAAGCGCGCGUAGGCGGUUUUUUAAGUCUGAUGUGAAAGCCCACGGCUCAACCGUGGAGGGUCAUUGGAAACUGGAAAACUUGAGUGCAGAAGAGGAAAGUGGAAUUCCAUGUGUAGCGGUGAAAUGCGCAGAGAUAUGGAGGAACACCAGUGGCGAAGGCGACUUUCUGGUCUGUAACUGACGCUGAUGUGCGAAAGCGUGGGAAUCAAACAGG
rnacentral:rRNA from 1 species